rnacentral:tRNA from 1 species
UGGCUCAGAGGGAAAAGCGUCUGCCUGCAAUGCAGGAGAUCCAGGUUCGAUUCCUGG